CCCAUCCUAAUAUAUACAUACGGAUAGACACUACAAGCAGAGGGGAAAUACAAAAACUCCUCCAUUUUUUUUUCUUAAGGAUUCACCCCCAAAAAAUUACAUACAAAAUACAAUGACCAUAUACGCACAGUGAGUCACACCAUACAUACUAACUUCAUCAUCAACACACUCCAUUAACAUAGACCACCAAAAUGCCAUGGAGUAGAGAUCAUUCAAAAGUAGAGAUCCGUUUUUCCUUUUCUUCUUCAUCAUAACACACACACAACUACACGGAGAACAGAGUUGAUCGGAAAACGGGAGAGAUAAAAUAGAGUAUCAGCUGAACGAAAGGGACGCAAGCCGUCUUGUCUUGAAUUUUUUGGCAAAGCCGAAAUGUCUAUCUCUCACCGGUUCAGCCAUCACAGCACCAAAAUCCCUCUGUUUGGUUCAUUCCGAUGAGAUUUCGCCUGAAACACAUCGAAAAAUACCCCCAGGCGAUGGUCACUACUUUGAUUCAUUCUGAACCCACCAUCGAACAGUACACCACUCUUCUUUGACUGUUCUGUUUUCACAUUAUUGAUUUGGUUUCGAGUUGAGGUCGUUGUUGGUUCGAGAUUUGCGUGGUUUUGGUUGUGGCUUAUCAAUUUGGUUUUUUUGGCUGUUUUUGAUUUGUGGUUUGACUUUGAAAUUGCUCCCCGUUCAAUUUGAGCUCGUAAAUUGUAGUAAAAAUCUCCACGUUAAGGUCCAUCUUUUAUCUUAUUCUUGUUCUCCGUUAAUUCUUUAUUUUUGAUGUGAUGUGAAUGAUUAAUGUGGAAUUAUUUGGUGGUGGAUUGUAUAUUGAAAUGGGUUAAUCAUGUGGUUGAUAAUGGAUUUGGGGCGGGAAUGGAGAAAUUGAUAAAAGUUGAAUGUAGAUUAAUUUUGGUUUGUUGUCGUUUUGUUUAAUUAUGAAUAAGUAUGAAUGUGAUAGAUUUAUGAUAUGUUGAAAUUGAUAGGCAAUAUAGGUUCUGGUAGACAAAUUUUAGACUUGUUUCGAUUGAACGUAGGAAUGUGUGUAUGAAUGUUCCUUUCUAGUUUAUCGUAUUUAAAAUGUACUCAUUUAGCCGGGGAAUGCCCCGAGAUACAUUGUAUUUAUUCACCGGGGAAUGCCCCGACGUACUAUGUUGGCGGAAGACGUUCGUGAAAAAGGCCCUAGGCGUCGGGUAAAGCACGGGAGCAUAGUUAGGAUUAGUAUAGGUUAGAUAGGAUUUAUUUUCGUAUUUUUCUAUUUUGGACUGUAUAAAUUGGACUGAACACUAUUUUGAAUUUGUUUUGUUUCGUGUGUUUGAUUGAUUGUUUUAUGUGGUAUAUAUAUUUGUAAUAUCAAAAUUAGCCGAUACACUUCACCAAGCGACCGUGGUCGAACCACGGGAUCGAGGGGUGCCUAACACCUUCCCCUCGGUCAACAGAAUUCUUUAACCGGAAUCUUUAUUUGUAAACCAGUUUAAAGAGUCAAAAAGCAGUUUUGAAAAAGGAUUUUCAAAGGUGACUUGGCACACCUGAAUAUGCCAAGUUGCGACUUUAAGUUUAAAUGUCAAUAAUCCUUUUUGAAACAAAAUUUUUCACCUUUUGUCACAUAACAAUAAAAACCCUUUCGAAAUCUUAAAUCUAAUCUUUUUGGUUUAAAAAAAGGGUGUGACAGCUCUAGCGACUCUGCUGGGGAGCUUUUCAGAAUUCGAGCUUAUUUUUGGAGUUAUAUCGGCUUAGUUUGGCAUUAUGGGUGUAUAUACAUUGUUUGUGUUAUCGUGCAUGUAUUUUAUCAUUGUUGAGCACCUACUUGCUACGUGUUUAUAGUUUUUCUCUUAUGUGCUACUGCUUUAUAUCUGGCAUCAUUUGCAUAACCCGAGUCAAUUUUUUCUGCAACAAGUUUUGUAGUACACGUUGUGUACACAACCUAUAGUUAAGUCACCCUUAUUUUUAGAAGGGGGAGCCGUCGGCUGGUAUGGACUGGAUGGAAAGCUACCGCAACCACUAUCGACCAUACGCACCCCCGAAUAGCCUUGUUUGUAAACCCUAACGUAGGUCAGCCUUUAGGUCAUGCUUAUGUGCAUCAUAAUGAGACCUAGAGGGGCCCACUUGGUCUUUUGUAGGAGACUCACAUUUAAAGCAUCCUUACGUGCUAAAUGUUGCAUUUUUGAGGAUAGCGUGGUCAUUUGAUGGACUGAUUUGGGGAAAAACGUGUGUUAGAAGUAAAGUGUGUAGACAAGAAAGUGCUGAAAAAAAGAGCGAAAAAGAAAAGGUGAGCCAAAAAAAAGUGUUUCAUAGUUUGUUUAGAGUUCUUUAUGGCUUUCGUUUUUCACAAUAUAAAAAUUCAUAAUGAUUUUUUACCUUUUGCACUCAUUUCCAAAAAAAUAAAAAAAAAUCAUUAAAAAGAUUUUUCUUUGUCUCUUUAGUGAGCAUUCACCAUUCGAAAACUCAAAAAAAGUUUUUCUUUACAAUAGUAGGUUUUUAUAAAGGAAAAUUCAAAAAUGGUUGAAGUUUUGUAUAUUUUUUAUAACGAAAAUACCAAAAGAUUUUUAUUCAUAGUUUUUGGUGUCAGUUCUACGUGAAGUGUCAUUUUGAAAACUCAAAAAAAUAUAAAAUUUAUAUGUAUUUAGUCGUGUCUCUCAAUUCAAGGAUUAGUUUGUCAUUUAAUCCAUUAUUGUCCAAGCUGGACGAACUACGCGUACCUGAUUCUCGUCCUUCGGGGCGGGAUACGUAGGCAACCCUCGAUGGGUCCGAUAAAAAUUGGGUAGUUUUUAGUCUGGUCUAGAGUCGUCGAUUAAUCUUGGCCAAGUAGGCUGACCACGCUUAGUGGUACCAUUUGUUUUAAUCUGAGUCUAAAGUGGUUUGUUUCUUCAUAAUAACCUGUCUGUGUCAAAAUCCCGAGGGUCGGGAACUCCUCCCCUUUUAUCAAUUAUUAAAUGAUAAGCCUUGUAUGUUGUUACAGGAUGGAUCUGCCUCCAAGGUCUAAAUUCCUAAUGGUUUCUAAAGUGCCCAAAAAGUUAAUCAAGUGGUGGGGCACGCUCAACUACUCUGAAAGGCAUGAGUUAUCAAAGAAGCUAGUCACUCUCACUUCUCUCUUGUCUAUCAUGCCCCGUCCAAACUUGAUCGAGGCUGCAUUGACUUUUUGGGAUCCAACUUGUCUGGUUUUUAGGUUUGGGAGUUGUGAAAUGACACCUACACUGGCGGAGAUAUCUGUUUUAUUUAAAUUUCCCUAUAUUAAAAAGAUGAUGAUUCGAGCGCGGUGUCAUUCUCCCAAUAGGUUUAUCCACUGUUAUGGGUUGAAAGUUAAUGACCAUGUGGGUUGCCUUAACCAAUCCUGGAUCUCUUUCAAUUACUUGUAUGCUCGGUUUGGCCUCCUAGACGGUUUUGAUUAUUUUUUGGAUGAAUUUUAUACAACUAAGAAGAAUUGGGAGAAACGUCGCCUUGAAGUCUUCGCCUUUGUUCUGUUAGGCACUUUAGUAUUCCCCUUGGAAGAUAGGCGUAUUAAUACUCGGUUGCAAUCUGUAAUGAUGGAUUUAUUUAACAAGGAUAAGGGAGACAAGGUCACUAUCGUGCCUCUGAUCUUGGUGGAAAUAUACACAGCUUUGACCGAGAUAAAAUGGGGUAUGCGAUUUUUUGAGGGGAGCAACCUAGUGUUACAACUAUGGAUGAUGGAGCAUUUGCAUGCCCCUUCUUUGUUUAAAUCUGAUGUGAUUGACCGUUGUUUGCCUAAUCGAGUGAAACCAUAGAACAUAGAAUGGGUUUUCCUAAAUUCUCAUUGCCUAUAGAAGUUGACGCUUGGGUUGAGUUUCUUGAAUCAAGGACAGAUAGCAAUGUCUUGUGGACCUAUCUAUGGUUCCGACCGAAAGUAAUCUUGGUUGGAUCUAGCAUACACCCCCAUCUAGUUUUGUUGGGGCUUAAUUGUACCCGACCAUACACUUCUCUUAGGGUAAUGCGUCCAUUGGGUAGAGUGCAGGAUGUUCCACCAAUAGUGGACUUUCAACAAGAUGUGGAGUACUUGAGGGACCAAGUCAGAGGUGAGAUCAAGUAUAAGCAAUGCUGGAGUAAUGCAACAUGGCAAGGCGUGGAUACUCUCAGGACAGGUUUAGAUAAUCCCGGAUACACUCAAGGAUAUGAGGUCUGGUUACAAUUUAUUCCUCGGGGUGUCAGCAUACCAUUACCAGUGCAGCUUAGAGGGAGGAUAUAGGAUGAAUGCAUAGUUGACGACCAUCAGGAUGAAAGGGGUGGGGGCCAAAGUAGAGGCACUAAGAGUUCAGUUAAUAGGUUUGCUCAAAACUAUGGAGGGAUGCUAGAACGGUCUUUUUAAGUGCACUCCCCAUGAGGCAGGAAUACGUGCCAGAGGCGUUUUCCCAAAUAUCAAAGGUUCCUUACAAGAUAUGCUACAUAGUUUGAAUGGGAAAAAGAGAACUUCACAGAUGGGUCCAUCUCAGCCAGGGUCAUCACGCAGAGUAUCAGUCUGAAGGAGCAUUUCCUAUCUUUUGAUUAGUUUGAGUCCUUUACUUUUUUGUCAUUUGUAGUAUUGUUUCUUUGUUAAGUCAGUGUAAAGUUUGCUUUAACUUGGGAGACUUUAUUAGGAGCAUUACGUAUGUUGUCAUGUUAGUCUAAAAUGUCGUUCAAUCUUUGUUGAUUAGUAUCGAGGUUGUCUUAAUUUCAUUAUAUGUCUUUGUUGUUUCUUUCAUCAAAGCGUUAUGAUGUUGCUUCUUUCUUUUGUUUGUUUGUUUUCUUUUUUCGUAAAAAAAAACUUCAAUUAUGUGAUGUUUAUGCAUAUGCAUCCCGAACUACGCAAGAUCUAAUUCAUGUACAAUAUGAUACGUAGGCAACCUACUUUUUGGGUUCGAUCUAAUCAUUUUGUUUCUUGGUUUUUCAUUAUUUUUAUUUUAAGAAAAAACAAAAGCCAUAAAGAAUAAUAAAAGGAGAGAUAGCGAGAAAGGGAAAGAAAGAAAGAAUAAAGAGAGGAAAAAAGGAUAAAAAAAGAGGCUGACGCGAGAGAUGAGGGAAGUGAUGACGAAAAAAAAGAGAGUUAAGAAAAAUAGAUAGGUGUGAUUAGAGUAAAGAAACACAUGGGUGUAGCAAAAGAUCAGGAUGGUGUUAAAAUGACCUUGCUACCCUCAAAGGUUGGUAGAAACACACAUGAAUCUAGGACGAUUUUACAAAUGUGAUUCUCAUGCUUGUUGUGUGACCUAAUCCUAACGGGUUUUGCCUUUGAUGAGCAUGUUCUUGCAGAUAAGUGGUUGGUUUGCAGCACUCUGGCUAGUCACCCGUACUUCACUAGAUCAAAAGCAAAGCCUGCCAUAGCUAUUAGGGAGAUUGAAAAUUCACUCAUUGACCCAGAUCAGAAUCCCAGGAAAGAAAGUUCAGAACGCAAUGAUGAGGUAUUGAGACUUAGACAAUAAUUUCUAGAUCUGCACCGAGCAUGGGCUAGUGGUAUGCCUCCUCCUCCGCUCCCUGAAGAUCUUGGGAACAUCCCCAAUUGCCCACCGCUCUCUCAGGCGCAUUUCUUUAUUCCCAUUGAGUCACCGGAGCACGGACCAGGAUUCACUCCAUAACAAUAUUACCCUGGCACUUCUAGUGUGCCCCUGGCAGUUCCUCAACCAAGGCCCGUGACUUAGUCGGUGCCAUCAUCAGUAUCUGUGUUCGUGGCUCCAUCACCACCUGAUGCAAGCUCCACAAAAUCAUCCAUUAGCUCCACCAAAUUACCAAAACCCCUCCAGACCUGGUUUCCAACCCAGGCCCGAGUACAAGAAUGAGAAUGUGGUCAAAAAUUAGUUCAUACCUCUUGGUGAGUCAUAUUCUAGCUUGUUUGAUAGAUUUAGAAAGAUAAAGGUCUUAAGCCCAAUUCAAGGAAGGCUUUCGAAUCCAUCUCUGAGAAAUCUAGAUAAUUCGUUAAGAUGUGCGUAUUGUUCUGAAAUACCAGGGCACGAUAUUGAGAAAUGUUGGCAUUUGAAUAGAGCUGUCCAAGAUUUAAUUAAUGCAAAACAAAUUCUGUUCCAAACCCCAAAAGCUCUAAACAUUAACCAAAAUCUAUUGCCAACCCAUGCUGAAAUCAAUAUAUUAGAACUGAUAUAUGAUGGGAAAGAGACGUCAAGGUGUUAUAAGCCUAUUUUCAGAAUAUAGACCAAUGAGGACAAAUCAGUGAAUGUGGUAGAUUUGUUGAAAGCAAUGUCAUUAAGCCAGGAAGGAAUGGGAGAAGAUAAAACCCAAGAAAACACAAAGAAACCUGUGAUCACAGUGCAAGGUGCCAGAAGAUAUGUUGAUUUAAGUCAGGAUAAACCUAAGUUGAUGGUGGUAUGAUCUCUAGGUAACCCUAUCUUAACGGUGAAAGAAGCACUGGCAGCACCUAUUAUUCUCAAACUGGUGACCCAACCUCCGAUAGUUGAUAUAAAAAAGUUCCCUGGAACUAUAAGCGGUCUGUGAUGACCUAUCAGGGGAAGGAAGUGGUGGAAGAUGUAGAUGAGAUAAGGGGUUUAACUCCGUCAGGGAGAUGCUUCGUGCCUAAAAGUUUAAGAAAGUCCAAUCCAAUUGUGAGUGGAUGUUUAUCUAUCAAAAAGCCUGUCACUGAAGAAGCCGAGGAAUUUUUGAAAAAGAUGAAGUUGCCAAAGUGUUCAAUAAUAGAUCAGUUGAAGAAAACCCCUGCUCAAAUUUCCCUCUUAUCUUUGUUAUUGCAUCCCAAGGAACAUCGUGAUAUUAUAUUGAAGGUAUUAAAUGAAGCAUAUGUUCCUAGGGAGAUUACAGUAAAUCAGCUUGAGAAAAUGGUUGGAAAAAUCUUUGAGGUCAAUUGAAUCAGCUUCUCUGACGAUGAAUUGCCCGUUGAAGGUAUGGGGCAUAACCGGGGUCUUUACAUUACGGUGAAGUGUAAAGAUUUCGACGUCACUUAUGUCAUGAUUGAUGGAGGUUCAGGUGUAAAUAUCUGCCCUAUUUCUACUUUGCAAAAGUUGAGUAUUGGUGUUGAGAAUAUCAGGCCCAAUAAUGUAUGUGUCAGGGCGUUUGAUGGUGCAAAAUCAAACUCCAUUAGUGAAAUAGAACUAAUGUUGAUUAUAGGGCUUGUUGAGUUCACCAUAGAUUUUCAAGUAUUGAAUAUAGACUCUUCUUACAAUCUAUUUUUGGGAAGACCGUGGAUCCAUAAGGCCAACGCGGUUGCAUCUAUAUUGCACCAAACGAUCAAGUCUGAGCAUGAUAGGCAAGAAGUGGUUAUUCAUGGUGAAGGGGAUUUGUCCGCCUACAAAGAUUCUCCCUUAUUCCUUAUUGAAGCAAACAAUGUAGAGGAGACAUUUUUCUAUCAAACUUUUGAUACAGUAUCGGUAAAUUGUAUCGUUGAAGGCCAGGUUAUUCCAGGGCCAUAAUUGUCUCGUGUUUCUGUCAUGAUGAUAAACGAAAUGUUAAAAUAUGGAUUCGAGCCAGGAAGGGGUUUGGGAGUGUCUCUGCAUGGUAUGGUUUUUCCCAUAUGUCAGAAUGAGAACAUGGGCACUUUUGGUUUGGGAUUUGAACCUAUGGCUGAAGAUCUGAAUAAGAACAAGGGAAGAAAAAAGGAAACAUGGUCACUCCCUCGCCCAGUGCCCCCACUCAGUAAGUCAUUCAUCAAGAGCAUUGUCGGGGAACCUAUAGAGCUUGGAGCUGAAUUGGUUGAUGAUUUCUAGAACCUGUUGAUCGAAGUUAACAUGGUUGAAGCAGGAGAAGGUACCAGUAAGGCAGACGUGAAUUUCAUAGGUCCAGCUGUUCGGCUCAACAAUUGGGAAGUCACUUCUCUCCCCGUCAAGCGGGAGUUUUGGUAGUUUGUUUUGUUUUUCUUUCUGUUUAUCCGAGUUAUUUCAGGGUUGUAACUGGGAUUUUAGUUUGUUUAUGUUAUGUUUUUAUUUGUGUUUAAACCCUCCUAUCUUUCCCUUUUAAUGAUAUGUAAUGUCCCUUUAUUUUGUGUCUAAUAUAUUUUGAUUUUGUUUUCAGCCUGAUCUUAUAAUCCAAACUAAUAAAGUUAUAAUGAAUCAAGAGGGGGAAUAUGAUGAAGAAGAGGCACUAGAGGAAAUAAGCAAAGAAUUGGAACAGUUUGAAGACAAGCCGAAUCCUAAUUUGAAUGAAACUGAGCCAAUCAAUCUAGGGAAUCAAUAAGAUAUUAAGGAAACUAAAAUCAGUGUACAUGCUUUGCCACAGCUAAAAGUUGGAAUGAUUCAAGUAGUAAUUGUUUAUAAGGAUGUUUUUGCAUGGUCUUAUAAUGAUAUGCCUGGUUUAAACACUGAAUUAGUGACUCAUAAAUUGCCAACUGAUCCCACAUUCCCCCCUGUGAAAUAGAAGUUGAGGAAGUUUGAGGAAGUUUAAAACUGAUGUAAGUAUCAAAGUCAAAGAGGAUAUCAUGAAUCAACUUGAAGCCAAAGUCUUUCGACUGACUCGUUAUUCUACGUGGUUAUCCAAUAUUGUUCCUGUCCCAAAGAAAGAUGUCAAAAUUUGAGUAUGUGUUGAUUACCGUGAUUUGAACUGACCAAGUCUGAAGGAUGAUUUUUCGUUAGCCAGCAUCCAUAUUUUACUGGACAAUUAUGCUAAACAUGAGGUUGCCUCUUUUGUAGAUUGUUAUGCCAGAUACCACCAGAUCAUUAUGGAUGAUGAAGAUGCGAAACAUACGUCUUUUAUCACACCAUGGGGGACUUAUUGCUAUCGAGUGAUGCCGUUCGGUUUGAAGAAUACUGGAGCAACAUACAUGAGAGUCAUAACCACUAUGUUUCAUGAUAUGAUGCAUAAGGAGAUUGAGGUCUAUGUAGAAGAUGUGAUUAUUAAGUCAAAAAGUCAGGUUGAUCAUGUUAAAGAUUUAAGAAUGUUCUUUGAAAGGAUCCGUAGGUAUAAUCUCAAGGUCAACCCGACAAAAUGUGUGUUUGGAGUUUCGUCUGGAAAGCUGUUGGGGUUUGUAGUCAGCCGUUGGGGAAUUGAAUUGGAUCCCUCGAAAAUCAAAGCCAUUCAGGAUUUUCCCCCGCCCAAGAAUAGGACAGAGGUGAUGAGUUUGCUUGGUAGACUGAACUACAUUAGUAAGUUUAUUGCUCAACUCACAACCACGUGUGAGCCCAUUUUCAAGUUGCUGAAAAAGAGUGUUCGGUAGAGUGGACUGAAAAUUGUCAGGAAUCAUUCAAAAAAAUCAAAAUAUAUCUGUCAAAUCUGCCCGUGCUGGUACCACCGAAGCCUGGUAGGCCUUUGUUCUUAUAUUUAUCGGUUAUGGAUAAUUCUUUCGGUUGUGUCCUGGGUCAACAUGAUGUCGCGGGCAAAAAGGAGCAGGCUAUUUUAUUAUCUUAGCAAAAAGUUCACUGCAUAUGAGGCCAGGUACCCUCUUCUUGAAAGGACGUGUUCCGCCCUGACUUGGGUAGUACAGAAUUUGAAGCAUUCUCUUUCGUCCUAUACUUCUUAUCUCAUCUCCUACAUGGAUCCGUUGAAGUAUAUAUUUCAGAAGCCUAUGCCAACAAGUCGAUUAGCAAAGUGGCAAAUAUUGCUUACUGAGUUCGACAUUGUAUAUGUAAGUCUAACCGCCAUGAAAGCCCAAUCUUUAGCAGAUCAUAUUGCUGAGAAUCCUAUUGAUAAAGAGUAUGAGCCAUUAAAAACAUAUUUUCCUGACGAAGAGGUAUUGUGUAUCGAUGAAGUCAUUGUAGAUGUCAAUCCAGGUUGGAAACUAUUCUUUGAUAGAGCCGUUAACAUGAAGGGAGUUAGAAUAGGUGCAUUUCUUAGCUCUGAGGAGGGGCAAAAUUUCCUUGUAACAGCACAACUUUAAUUUUAUUGUACCAAUAACAUGGCGGAAUAUGAAGCAUGCAUUCUUGUUUUGAGGCUAGCUGUUUAUAUAGGACUCCAGGAACUAUUAGUGUCGGGAGAUUCAAAUUUGCUCGUCCAUCAGAUUCAAGGCGAUUGGGAGAUGCAAGAUUUGAAGCUCAUACCAUAUCGACAAUGCUUGUAAGAGCUAUGUCAACGGUUUGUGUCAGUAAAAUUUAGGGACAUUCCAAGAAUUCACAAUGAGAUUAAUGAUGCUUUAGCCACUCUGUCUUCAAUGCUCCAACAUCCUGAUAAAUCCUAGAUCGAUCCAGUGCAUAUACAAAGUCGUGAUCAACAUGCUUACUGUAAUGCAGUUGAAGAAGAGCUCGAUGGCAAACCUUGGUUCUUUGAUAUCAAGCGAUACAUUCAGUAAGGAGAAUACCCAACACAUGCCACCAGUGAUCAAAAGAGGACUAUUAGGCGUUUGGCUAGCGGAUUUUUCUUAAGUGGGGGAAUCUUAUACAAAAGAACCCCAGAUCUAGUAAUUUUGAGGUCUGUAGAUGCAAAAUAAGGCUCAACAAUUAUGGUUGAAAUACACUCGAGAGUAUACGGACCGCAUAUGAACGGUUAUGUCUUAUCAAAGAAGAUUCUUCGAGCAGGUUACUACUGGCUUACUAUGAAGAGGGAUUCUAUUCGAUUUGUUUGAAAGUGUCAUCAAUGUCAAGUACACGGUGAUCUGAUACAUUCUCCUCCUACUGAGUUGCAUACAAUGGCUGCUCCGUGGCCUUUUGUAGCUUAGGGAAUGGACGUGAUUGGACCGAUUGAGCCAAAAGCAUCAAAUGGGCAUAGAUUCAUUCCGGUGGCCAUUGAUUACUUCACAAAGUGGGUGGAAGCAGUAACUUUCAAGUCAGUGACAAAGGAAGCAGUAGUUGAUUUUGUUCAUGCCAAUAUUAUUUGUAGGUUUGGAAUUCCUAAGAUGAUCAUUACAGACAAUGCUGCCAAUAUCAAUAGUUAUUUGAUGCAAGAAGUAUGUCAACAGUUUAAGAUCGCACAUCAAAAUUCCACUCCAUAUCGUCCAAAGGAUAAUGGCGUUGUGGAAGUCGCCAAUAAGAAUAUCAAGAAGAUACUGCGGAAAAUGGUACAAGGGUCUAGACAAUGGCAUGAGAAGUUGCCGUUUGCAUUGCUAGGUUAUCGCACUACUGUUCGUACUUCAACAGGUGCAACUCCAUAUUUAUUGGUGUAUGGGACAGAAGCAGUCAUCCCUGCAGAAGUUGAAAUUCUCUCUCUUCGAGUCAUUGUGGAAGAAGAGAUUGAUGAUGACGAGUGGGUCAAAACCCGACUAGAACAAUUGAGUUUGAUUGAGGAAAAAAGGCUAACGUCGGUAUGUCAUGGCCAAUUGUAUCAGAAGAGAAUAGGUCGAGCAUAUAACAAAAAGGUAUGACCCAGGCAUUUUGAAUAUGGUCAGUUGGUAUUGAAGUGUAUCCUUCCUUACCAGGUUGAAGCGAAAGGCAAGUUCUCCCCAAACUGGCAAGGUACCUUCAUUGUGAAGAAAGUGUUGCCCAAUGGAGCCUUAUAUUUGCAGAUAUUGAAGGCAAAAUAUCAGAAAUGGCUAUCAAUGUUGAUGCGGUCAAAAUAUAUUAUGUAUGAUGUUUUGUCCUUUGUUGAUUUUAUUGCAUGUCUAGUACUUGCAUUUUUAAAGAUUGAUAUGAUAAAGACAUUUUAUUCUUUUAUCCAAACAUUGUGUCAUCCUUUAUUUACCCGUUUGAGCUUAGUUUUAUUUUUCUUUCAUAUCCCUCUUUUAGAAUCAAAAUAUGAGUCAAAGAUAGAUGUCAGGAAAGUAAGAAUAAAAGAAAGAGUUCGAAAAAAAAUUCAAAUCAAAACAAAGAACAAGAUGAUGGAACUAUGUUCGACUUGAUUCUCCUCUCUUGGGAGUGAGAUACGUAGGCUGCCCUACUCAGGGCUCGGUCCAACCAAAUAAAUAUUUUAGAGUCACCUAGUCAACAAAACGGGGCAUGAGUUAACAUGUUGUUUGAGUCGAUUCCAAAAAUUGUAAGUCUCACCCCCACUUCAAGUGUCGUUUGAGCCUCUUGCCAUCCUUUUAUAACCUUAUCCAAAAGCCAAGCUACAACCAAAGAAAGUUCUUCAGAUCAAUCUUUGAUAAUGUUAAGGCUAUGCAUGCAAUGGAUAUGAUGAUACAUUGUGGGGUACUACUUGUCUUCCUUAGCAUAAGAAAUCAGGAAAGAAAUAAAAAUGAGAGAGUCUUACGGGUGAAAACCCUCACGGGCACCAUUAGGCGAUGGGGAGUUGAGAGAAAUAAAAUGAGAGAGUUUUAUUGGUGAAAACCCUCAUGGGCACCGUAAGGCUAUGGUGAGGUUAAAAGAAAGGUGAAAAGGAAAGGGAUUUAUUGGAAAAAAUAUUUUAAGAUGUCAUCAAUUGAAUGAUAUGUGUGAGUCCACUAAGUUUGAAGAAGCGGCUCAGCGGCAAAGGCAUGAGCUCAACAACAAAUGGAAGUUUGGGGACAGGAUCAGGCAGCUUAAUCCAAAAUGCAUGUCAUAGUCAUUGGAGUUGGUUGUGAUGUUCAGAUAAGUUUUCUUCUUUGUUUAAAAAGAGGGACAUUGGCCUUUUUAUUUCAUUUACACAUUUAUAUUUUUUCUCCUUUUAUGUCUUUUAUUAAAAGAAAAUUCACCACCGUUUCUUUACAUUUUUUAGUCUUUUCUGUGUCAAAACAAGCGAGAAGGGAUUUCAAAACUCGCUACCAGUUUCCCCAAUUGUAUGAGGAAAAUCCAAGGACCAGCACCUAAAAGAAAUAUGAUCUUAAUUCAACACAAAGCAAAGAAAGUCUAUCAACCAACAGGCUGUUGGGUUCGUGGGAGUAUUCAGAUUUGGAAAAGGGUGUAUCUCAGAGGCACGGUAAAAUAAAAAUUCAUUGUUUGAGUCAAAACUCAUUUCCCUCAAUCUGGAUCUGAGUCAAUGACGCGAUGAGACAGGGGCAAAUGUCAACAAUCUGAAACAAGGACAAAAGAAACAAGUGUUGCAGCAGAUGUAUGGAAAGCCAAAGUAUUGCAAACUACCACUAAGUUUUUAACUGAUAAAAUUUUCUUUGAUGAAACAGGGGCAAAUUUCUUUUCAGCAAGAUCAUUUACCGUUGGGAAGGCAUAUCUGGGAUUUUACUUUCUGUUCAGGACCCUCUUGAAAAAUGGGAUUUUACUUUCUGUUCAGGACCCUCCUGAAAAAUGCGACUUUACUUUUAUUCAGGACCCUCCUAAAAAUGAGAUUUUACUUUAUGUUCAGGACCCUCCUGAAAAAUGAGAAUUUACUUUAUGUUCAGGACCCUCCUGAAAAGUGAGAAUUUACUUUUUGUUCAGGACCCUCCUAAAAAAUGGGACUUUACUUUCUGUUCAGGACCCUCCUGAAAAAUAGGAUUUUACUUUCUGUUUAGGACCCUCCUAAAAAAUAGGAUUUUACCUUAUGUUCAGGACCCUCCUGAAAAAUGAGAAUUUACUUUAGGUUCAGGACCCUCCUGAAAAAUGGGAUUUUAAUUUCUGUUCAGGACCCUCCUGAAAAAUGGGACUUUACUUUCUAUUCAGGACCCUCCUGAAAAAUGAGAUUUUACUUUCUAUUCGGGUCCUUCCUGAAAAAUGGGACCACGCUUUCAAAAAUGAAAUACUGCCUUAUGAUAAUCUUUGUGUGGGAUAUUUUUAGUUCUAGUUUUGAUUUUGAUUAAUUUUUGUUCUAGUUUUGAUUUUGGUUUCAGGAUCCCGCCUAAAGAAUAGGGUGAUGAAAUCGAAAGUCAGGAUCCCGCUUGAAGAGUAGGGAAAAUAAGUUAAAAGUCAAUAGAUUGAAAAUAGCAAGUCAGGAGCCUACAUGGAGAACAUGUUGAAGAAACUGAAAGUAGUCAACAAGUUGAAAAAAUUGCAAGUCAGGAUCCCGCCUGAAGAAUAGGGUGAUGAAACUCAAGUCAAGACUUCAAAAGAAGCUACAUAGAUAGGCUUUUGUAAUUUCACUGAUGUUUUAACUGGUAAUUUUUAUUUUCGAUGUAAUGACAGAGCCACGGACCGGAACCUUGACAGGGCCUCACUCGACUCUCCAACUCGGUAUAUUCUUUUUUCUUUCAGUCUUUGGGGAUACCUGCAACUUGAUCCCUCAUAACUAAGGAUGAUUAUGAUGUCCAAAGUCAAGACUUGGUUUCCCUCCUUCCUUCUGUUUUAUUCUUUUUGAAUAAUGGUCGGGACAAAUUAUCUCGUUCUCUACUUCUUUGUCUAAAAACACUUUGUGUUUACAUUCAAAGGGAGCAUGAUGUAGACACCUAAUUUUGUCCCUCCCGAGAGUCACUUUUACUCGUUCUACCUUAUCCUACCUUGUACCCUCAACUGUGUAAUUAUCCCUCUAUAAAAUGACAAAAAAAAUAAUAAUAAUAACAACCCAUAAAAAAAUGUAUCUUGUUUUGAUCCUAUCCUAACAACAUCUCCAAUUAAAAGCGGACACCUCACCCCUCACCCCAUAUCCUACCCCUACCCCUACCUCACUACCCUACUCCACUACCCCAUCCUAAUACAUACAUACGGAUAGACACUACAAACAGAGGGGAAAUACAAAAAAUCCUCCAUUUUUCUUUCUUAAGGAUUCACCCCCAAAAAAUUACAUACACAAUACACUGACCAUAUACGCACAGUGAGUCACACCAUACAUACUAACUUCAUCAUCAACACACUCUAUUAACACAGACCACCAAAAAACCAUGGGGUAGAGAUCAUUCAAAUGUAGAGAUCCAUUUUUCCUUUUCUUCUUCCUCACAACACACACAGAACUACACGGAGAACAGAGUUGAUCAGAAAAUGGGAGAGAGAAAAUAGAGAAUCAGCUGAACGAAAGGGAUACAAGCCGUUUGGUCUUGAAUUUUUCGGUAAAUUUCUUGCCGAAAUGUCUAUCUCUCACCGGUUCAGCCAUCACAGCACCAAAAUCCUUCUAUUUGGUUCGUUCCGGCGAGAUUUUGCCUGAAAUACGCCAGAAAAUACCCCCAGGCGAUGGUCACUACUUCGAUUCAUUGCGAAACCACCAUCGAACAGUACACCACUCUUCUUUGACUGUUCUUUUUUCACAUUAUCGAGUUGGUUUUGAGUUGAGGUCACUGUUGGUUCGAGAUUUGCUUGGUUCCAGUUGUGGCUCAUCAAUUUGGUUGUUUUGGCUGAUUUUGAUUUGCGGUUCAACUUCGGAAUUGCUCCUCAUUCAAUCUGAGCUCGUAAAUUGCAGUAAAAAUCUCUACGUUAUGGUCUAUCUUUUAUCUUAUUCUUGUUCUCCGUUAAUUCUUUAUUUUUGAUGUGUGAUCGAUUGUUAUUGUCUCAAUUUUCUCUUAUUUUGGAUGUGAUGUGAAUGAUUAAUAUGGAAUUAUUUGGUGGUGGAUUGUAUAUUGAAAUGGGUUAAUCAUGUGGUUGAGAAUGGAUUUGGGGCGGGAAUGGAGAAAUUGAUAAAAGUUGAAUGUAGAUUAAUUUAGGUUUGUUGUCGUUUUGUUUAAUUAGGAAUAAGUAUGAAUGUGAUAGAUUUAUGAUAUGUUGAAAUUGAUAGGCAAUAUAGGUUCGGGUAGGCAA
rnacentral:lncRNA from 1 species